rnacentral:rRNA from 1 species
AACGUAGGUUCCGAGCGUUAUCCGGAUUUACUGGGCGUAAAGCGCGUUCAGGCGGUUUGGCAAGUCGGGCAUGAAAUCUCUCGGCUCAACCGGGAGAGGUUGUCCGAUACUUCCAGACUUGAGGGCAGUAGAGGGUGGUGGAAUUCCGGGUGUAGUGGUGAAAUGCGUAGAUAUCCGGAGGAACACCAGUGGCGAAAGCGGCCACCUGGACCGACAUUGACGCUGAACGGCGAAAGCUAGGGGAGCAAACGGG